CCUACGGGGGGCUGCAGUGGGGAAUCUUGCACAAUGGGGGAAACCCUGAUGCAGCGACGCCGCGUGAGCGAUGAAGCCCUUCGGGGUGUAAAGCUCUUUCGGCAGGGACGAUAAUGACGGUACCUGAAGAAGAAGCUGCGGCUAACUACGUGCCAGCAGCCGCGGUAAUACGUAGGCAGCGAGCGUUGUUCGGAGUUACUGGGCGUAAAGAGUGCGUAGGCGGUUUUCUAAGUUUGGCGUGAAAUCUCCCGGCUUAACUGGGAGGGUGCGUCGAAAACUGGAAGGCUUGAGUAUGGGAGAGGUAAGCGGAAUUCCUGGUGUAGCGGUGAAAUGCGUAGAUAUCAGGAGGAACACCUGCGGUGUAGACGGCUUACUGGACCAUAACUGACGCUGAGGCACGAAAGCGUGGGUAGCAAACAGGAUUAGAUACCCUUGUAGUC
rnacentral:misc_RNA from 1 species